rnacentral:siRNA from 1 species
UCAAUAGUUGGUGAAUUGUUGG